rnacentral:rRNA from 1 species
UAGGGAAUCUUCGGCAAUGGACGGAAGUCUGACCGAGCAACGCCGCGUGAGUGAAGAAGGUUUUCGGAUCGUAAAGCUCUGUUGUUAGAGAAGAACGUUGGUAGGAGUGGAAAAUCUACCAAGUGACGGUAACUAACCAGAAAGGGACGGCUAACUACGUGACAGCAGCCGCGGUAAUACGUAGGUCCCGAGCGUUGUCCGGAUUUAUUGGGCGUAAAGCGAGCGCAAGCGGUUCUUUAAGUCUGAAGUUAAAGGCAGUGGCUUAACCAUUGUACGCUUUGGAAACUGGAGGACUUGAGUGCAGAAGGGGAGAGUGGAAUUCCAUGUGUAGCGGUGAAAUGCGUAGAUAUAUGGAGGAACACCGGUGGCGAAAGCGGCUCUCUGGUCUGUAACUGACGCUGAGGCUCGAAAGCGUGGGGAGCAAACAGG